GAGGCUAGAGGCGCAGGCAGCGCUUUCGUCGCUCGGCGAUGACCUCGGCGCUCAUGAUGCUGAGGUCGGUGGUUCGAUUCCACCUGGCCCCACCA
rnacentral:tRNA from 1 species